ACAAAACAGGAAACAUAGCCACAUUGCUUUUUAUUUUUCAACUCAAUCCUCUCAGCACCGCGAACCGACGGCAUCAAAGCGGGAACAAAUUGUGGCUUCUGUGGUAACAAAUUGCACGCGUGGAAGAGGACAAGGGCGUGAUUGACAAAGCCUUUGUACUUUUCCCGUGGGAAUGCGUUCAAAAUGAGGAAUUCUUGUGUGCGAGGAAGAAGAAAGUUAAAAAGCAGAUGGGACCCAGGCUUGGAAUUUCAUCAAUGUUUUCUGCAAACAGUUUAUAUGCAAAAAAAAGGUGGAGGGUUUAUAUCAGCACAAAAAGCCUUUUCAAUUACAGCAGGCAGGCAAGGGGAAGACACGUGCGUCUACGAAAACAACAGAUCCACCAAAUGACAACAGAUCUCGCAAUUGGGCUGAUACCGACCUUGUUUCAAGGUAAAGAAGGCUGCCGAUACCGGCCAUCAGCACUAAAGCUCCUUUCCUGCUGCAGAUAAUGAUGAUGACGACGGUGACUGUGCGGACGCGACGAAAUUGGCUUCAUUCCAUGCCACCUUCCUAUUGGUCGGCUCUCCGUCGGAGACUUUAUCGAGAGGCAGGCGCACUUGUGAGAUAAUUUCUCCACGUUUCUGACACUGCUUGCCGUCUGCGGUGCGACGCUUCCAUUUGUCAUCUUUGCUCCUCUCGCAUGACAAGCACGGCGUCAAAGAAGCCCUACGAUGCGACGCAGCUAUCGCCACAAGAGACAUCAGGAUUUGCUCUUCCGACGGAGGUGACCUGGAAUGACCUGUGCUGCCGAGUGGAAAUAGAGGCUUAAGAUGCAGACAGUGCACAUAGCGUACGGACACCCGUUGCGCCCGGAAACCGCCGCCUGUUUCCAACGAAUCAGCAGAGGAAUUACACGGAUCAGUCAGAUAACAAGGUCAUGCAAACAAGCCGUCCCUCUUCCGCCGCCUCCGCUUGGAUUGCGCGCCCUAGCUAACCGAGCCGCGCUGGCACUCCGUCAUCCCGACGCCAUCUCGCGUCCUCCCGUUGUAACUCUAACUGGUCCGACUAAAGUGCACGGGCGUCCGCGUGCAUCCGUCACCGCCCGCGACCCGCUGAAGUCACCGAGGCCCUCCGCCGCGCCGACCAGCUGAGCUUCGCGGUCACGCGCUCGCGCACGGACCAAAUGCGGAUCCCCACCUGAUGCGCUGCCCGUUCCAGAUGGCGGACAUUUAAAAUAAAUAUGGAUUAGCCUCGCCACCUCACCCGCAGGGGUGACCAAUGGACAGUCUUACGGCCUAAACUGCUGGAAUGAAAAAGGAAAUUUUAUGGGGAUAAGACCCAACAUCAGCCUGUGUCCAACUUUCAGGUGACAUUUCUAAGAUCAAUGUUU